UUUUUUCUCUUUGAAGAUGCAGAGCAAUGAGCAAAACAGCAUACCGGCAUGGGAGCUGUCUUGGGCAAGAAGAACAACGGUGGUGCGAGAGCCUCGAUGGGACAAGAGAAGAUGGUGCCACCUGAGUGGGCAAGCGGUGCUACAUGCAGCCUCAGAGGGGUGAAUCUUCACGGAGGCAAAUGGUCUGAGGUGCCACGCGGGCUGCCUUUGGAACGGGAAGAGCAUUUGAGAUAAAGAGAAACGUGUUGACCGCAGGAUCAUAUCAGGCAGCAGAUGUGACUUGAGCUGCUUCUGCCAAGCACGGCUCAGGCCCUCGGACCCCUGAAAGCUAG